rnacentral:rRNA from 1 species
UACGAAGGGGGCUAGCGUUGUUCGGAAUUACUGGGCGUAAAGCGCACGUAGGCGGACUUGUCAGUCAGGGGUGAAAUCCCGAGGCUUAACCUCGGAACUGCCUUUGAUACUGCAAGUCUUGAGGAUGAGAGAGGUAAGUGGAACUGCGAGUGUAGAGGUGUAAUUCGUAGAUAUUCGCAAGAACACCAGUGGCGAAGGCGGCUUACUGGCUCAUUUCUGACGCUGAGGUGCGAAAGCGUGGGGAGCAAACAGG